UACGGAGGGUGCAAGCGUUAUCCGGAUUUACUGGGUUUAAAGGGUGCGUAGGCGGGCUUUUAAGUCAGUGGUGAAAACUUCGAGCUUAACUCGAAAACUGCCAUUGAUACUAUUAGUCUUGAAUCUAGUUGAGGUUGGCGGAAUGUGUCGUGUAGCGGUGAAAUGCUUAGAUAUGACACAGAACACCGAUUGCGAAGGCAGCUGGCUAAACUAAAAUUGACGCUGAGGCACGAAAGUGUGGGGAUCAAACAGG
rnacentral:rRNA from 1 species